rnacentral:tRNA from 1 species
GGGAAUGUGGCUUAGUGGUAGAGUGCUUGCCUAGCAUGCAUGAAGCCCUGGGUUUAAUUCCUUAGUUCCA